GCGGCGAGGCGCGGCGAGACGAGACGGGCCGAGCCGCCGCCGCCCCCCGCCCCGAGCCGUGACUAACCAUAGCGCGGGGAGCGCGGCCGCCCGCGCCCCGCGCCUUCACUGCAAAAAAAUAAUAAAAAAAAAUCCCCCCAAAGUCUCCGCUUUCUGUUGAAAUUUCACCCCUCACUGCCUUUCUCCCUGCAGUUUCACAGCGAUGCGGGGAGCCGGAGCUGGCACCCCGUCCACCUUUCACCGCACAUCGCAGGGACUGCACUUUUAUUUUUCCCCUCUCGUGGAACAGCGAGCAGAAGUGUUCAUCAAGAUUGCUAUGAUUACAUCCCGCUCCCUCUUCCAGCUCAGUGGUGUCGGCUGCAUCGGUUGAAAUCCUUUGAGAACUGGGUACAAAACCUCGAGCCACCUACUGCUAACCUUCGCUGAGAAGAAAAGCAGCUACCGAUGUUAAUAGCAGCAGUAGGAUUACAGUUCUGUCGAAUCCCAGUCCUGCCAGGG
rnacentral:lncRNA from 1 species